rnacentral:rRNA from 1 species
UACGUAGGGGGCAAGCGUUGUCCGGAAUCAUUGGGCGUAAAGCGCGUGUAGGCGGCCAGGUAAGUCCGUUCUGAAAGCCCGGGGCUCAACCCCGGGAGGCGGAUGGAUACUGCUUGGCUCGAGUCCGGAAGAGGCGAGUGGAAUUCCCGGUGUAGCGGUGAAAUGCGCAGAUAUCGGGAGGAACACCAAUGGCGAAGGCAGGUCUCUGGGCAGUAACUGACGCUGAGGAGCGAAAGCGUGGGGAGCGAACAGG